rnacentral:lncRNA from 1 species
AAUUUUUUGUUAUAUAACUUGAUUAUUUUUAUAAUUUAUUUUUAUACCUUUUACAAAUAUAUAUCGAAUCAGUUUAACUCACAAAAUAUAAGAAAUACAGUACUAUGACAUUAGAUUAAAUAAAACAUUUUAGAUGCAAAAUUCACAUAAAAAUUACAUUGAAAUCGAAUUAAAAAGUAUAUCGUAAUGUAUCACACGAAAAAUACAUAUUUAAUACAAAAUGAAAGAAUAUAUAUAUACUGCCAUAAUUAAAUAUCAAUUUUUUAUAUAAAAGCAAUUAAUUAAUUGGCUUCAUUAUACCGAGAAAAGUUAAUAUGAGGAAGUUUUCGAAACAUUCAAAAAAUGUUUUGUCAAACUUCAGUAUGAGAGUCUACACAAUGAAAAAUAGUUUGUGAAUAUGUAAAAUACAUCAAAUUUAUAUCUUUCAUACUUAAUAUUUUUCGUAAGUAUGGUUUGUGUAAUAACUGAUUUCCUGAUUCAUUAAAUUCUCAUUUGUGCAAAAAGAAAUUAUUAAUAUGUACAGUAGACCCCCUCAUCUAUAGGGGGGUAAGUUCCAAGCUUUUCUGCAGAUACCUGAAACCAUGAUUAGUAGCAAAUACUAUUUACUGUAUAUGCUGUAUAUCUAUGAUAAAGUUUAAUUUUUAAAUUAGCCACAAUAAGAUAUUAACAACAAUAACUAAUAAUAAAAUAGAACAGUUAUAAUAAUUAUUUGAAUGCCUGUCUUUAAAAUAUUAAUUCUGUACUUGCUCCUCUUCAUUCUUCUUGUGAUGAUGACAGAAUAUCUAUGAAAUGUAAUGAAAUGAACUUAAAUUAUGAUUAUUUCCUGUGUUUCUGAAUUUUUUUAUAUUUUUGGACCAUGGUAACUGUGAUCAAGUGAAACUGCAGAUAUAGGGAUUUCAUUGUGUAUUUUGUUCUAUAACCUAAGACAGCAUUUCAAAAACAUUGAGAUAUUUUAAAUAAUUUUAAGAUGGACUAGCCAACCUAAACAAAAAAAAAAAAUAAAAACAUGCAACUAACUUAUUCCAGCUUUGGAACAUGAACUUUGCAGAUAUAUAUUCAUAUAAAAAUUUCUUAUUUAGUAUACGACAUUAGUAAGUUUGGAAAAAUACAUUUAAAUCAUCUUAUUUACAGUAGACUCGCAUUUUUUACAAACCUUCAAUUUACGAACUACACAUUUUUAUUAGGGACUUUUGGGACCAACUAAAUACUUAA